UACGUAGGGUGCAAGCGUUGUCCGGAAUUAUUGGGCGUAAAGAGCUCGUAGGCGGUCUGUCGCGUCUGCUGUGAAAAUCCAGGGCUCAACCCUGGACCUGCAGUGGGUACGGGCAGACUAGAGUGCGGUAGGGGAGAUCGGAAUUCCUGGUGUAGCGGUGAAAUGCGCAGAUAUCAGGAGGAACACCAAUGGCGAAGGCAGCUCGCUGGGACGUGACUGACGCUGAGACGCGAAAGCGUGGGGAGCGAACAGG
rnacentral:rRNA from 1 species